CUUUUCUAUCCAUUUGGCUAUGAGCUGUCUGAGUGUCUGACGUAUGCGGAUGCGGAUAUGUUUUUGUUUGGCUCUUUCCUUUUCAUGGAUAGACGGUAAAAAAAAGGUCCCUAGUGUUUCAUGCAUAGUAUGGGCUGGCUCUUCAGGCUAGCAUAGUAGGCUUUUCAAGCCAUAAGUUGGUUUUGUUUGGUAAUAUUAACCCUAGGUGUCGUAGGCUCGUUCAAUCAUUGCAGCAGCAAAAACUCAAAUUAAAUGGAGUCUGUCUACCAUCGAUUCAAUUCCUAUGACUUCGAGAGCAAUACCAAUUUUCAGGAAGGUUUAAAAAGUAUCCAGGCGAACAAGGGAGCAGAAAAUAUACUGAAGCUGAAAUUGUUUUAUUAUAAUAGAUUCAUCGAGCCUGUUGACUUGGAGGGUUACAGACAGUGGAGUCACUGUCAUAAAUCACAACCCGUUUCAGCCGCAGAUUGUGUUGAAUCUCGUAAAUUGGAGGACAUUAAUCAGGUCAUUAAAUCCGGGCAGUCUGACAACGAAGCGCUUCUCGAUUCCCGUCGAAAUGUGGGAAAGGACAAACUGACAUUUGCAGAGGUUCUCCGCCUGAUUCAAGCCGGUGAAGAAGUCCCUGGGAUUGAGAAUCUGGAUAUUAGGCCGUGCCAACAAACACCAACAGUCUCCCAAUUGUCACGAAGGUUAAAACCAUGGGAAAGUGAAUGAUUCGGCCAUUUCAGUGUCGCUAAAUUAAUGAUUAAUAAAGCUAUGCUGCUCACA